AAAAGUCCAAAAACCACUGGGAGAACUGGGAGAAGAAGAAAGGAGAGAGAGAGAGAGAGAGAGAGAGAGAGAGAGAGCAAUAUCCCAUCAAUUUCAUUGUGGAAGUCUCAUCGUCACUUUCACGCGGACAAAGAUCAUCAUCAUCCUUCUUCUUCCAUUCCAAAAGGAUUUCCUUUCCUCAAGACCCAGAAACGAGAAAUUCCUCCUCUUACCCCCUCUUCUACACUUCUCUUGAAUCCUCAAAGGCCCUAACACCCUUAAUAGACCCCCUCCCCUUCUCCCUCUCUCUCUCUCUCUCUCUCUCUACCCUGUGUACAAUUGUCAGCUCAUUUGAUAAGAAACAGAGAAACUGAGAGAAAGGUGCAGUGCAGGAUUGUGAAGUUUGAGUGGUGAAGAAGAACCAGAAGUCCAGAGCAGAGCUCUCUUGGCUCACUGCAGUGUUUCAUGAUGGGGAAUGAGUGCUCUCUUCCAUGAAGCUUCACAUCUCCGUCGGCCCACAAAAAUAUCUCAAAAAUCCAUUUUGUCCUCUUUCCACUUCUUCUCUGCCUCCUACUAUUUGCCACUUCACACCUCCCAAAAGGCUAACAAGCAGCAGCAGCAUCAUCAAACCCCCUCGAUUCGAGGUUUCCCGUCACUUUCUCAAGAAUCUGUCCUUUCGGGGCCAAUCAGGCGCAGACCCGAUUCUACUAAUGCCCUUUUGAAGACAAAUCUCCGGCCAAAAUCAAACCUUUGGUGCUUUUGAGGUGGCGGGGUCUCACAGGAUGUUGAGUGGAGCUUCAAAUUCCCAAACUUGAGGCCUUUUCUCCCCGUCAAGACUUACCCCAGGAUUUGGAGCUUUUUGGCCGGUCGAUCGGAGAAGUUAUGCAGGACCCUUCGGCAUUCCUUCAGCCGGUGAAGCCGCAGUUCCCGGAGCAGGAGAGGCUCAAGUGCCCGAGAUGUGAGUCCACCAACACCAAGUUCUGCUACUACAACAACUAUAACCUCUCCCAACCCCGCCACUUCUGCAAGAACUGCCGCCGCUACUGGACCAAGGGCGGCGCCCUUCGCAACAUCCCGGUCGGCGGCGGCACCCGCAAGAGCGCGAAGCGCCCCACGAACGCGAAGCGCCCCAGCCCCGGUCCUGUGGAGACGGAGCCGAGACCCGAAGGCUCGUCUCAGGCCCGGAGCCCCAGGUUGAUCGAGCCCUCCCACGGUCUCUCUCAGCCGGCCGUGCCCCAACAGUCUGCCCAGGGCCCCUCUCCGGGUCCCAGUCCGGCCCGGAUAGUCCAUCCCGGCUCUGGGAUCCUCGGCCUGGGCACUGACCCCGAAAGGAGGCUGCUCGACACGGGUGGGAGCUUCAGCUCACUUCUGACCUCGAAUUUGCAGUUCGGGACUCUCCUCGAGGGUCUGAACCCGAACAGCUCGGGUCCGAAGGUGAUGCAAUUCGGCGUCCUCGGGGAGAACUUGAAUUCCGGCACCAGCUUGAAUCCGAGUAGAGGUCCUAACGGGGUGCAGGGGCAGAAAUCACAGAGCAAUAAUAUGCCGGACAGUGAUUGCUUGAGCUUGCAGAAUGGUAAUGGUAACGGCAAUGGAAAUGGAGGCAAUGGAGGUGAGGAAUCCAGCUGUUGGGGGAAUAGCAAUGGGUGGCCUGAUCUUGCUAUUUACACUCCCAGUUCAAGAUAUCAAUAGACCAACAGCAACAAGUGAUUAGCGUAUCCUUUUUCUUCUUCUUUCUUUUUUUCUUUUUUUUUUCAAUUGUUAUUUGAAUUUUUCCACUUUGGGGUUUUCCACUUCUUGCACUGAAUGAAGGCUGAAGAAGUUUGGGGAACAGAAACGAGGAUUUUGGAGCCUGAGUGUGGUGUUAUCUGAUGCUGCUCAAGGUACAUAGCACACACCCUGAAGGCCAAAACAUUACUAAUAUAGAGCCUCAGCUGCAAAAUUUUCAGUCCAAGACAGAAGAUUUGGGGUUUUGUUUUCUUGCUAUCACCAAGGAGGCAGGCCCCCACCACCCCCCAACCCCAAAGAUCUUUAAAGUCAAAUUGGCAGGGUUAAGUAGCUGUCAUGGUCAAAUUGAUGAAGAAGCUCCCUGGGGGGUUCUUGGGCCGGAGAUUUGGAUCCCUCCCAACAUGCCUCCAGGCACCUUUGGGUUCAUCACGAUUUAAAAGCAAUACCCAAUUAGAUUCAUGAUCAAAUCUUGUAAACGGAAAGGGAAAAAGAAGAAAAGAAAAGACUUAUUUUUCUUCUUAAGAAACUUUCUAUGUUUGGUAAUAAAGUUUAAGGGUUGUUUGGAAAUGGAAUUGAGUAAAACUCAACUUCAUUCCAAUUAUAUAUAUAUAUAUAUAUUGUUAAUUGGAUUAUAAUAACAACGUGGAUGAAGAAAAUAAUAAAAAAAAGUAAUGAUUGUGUUAUGGGAAAAGUGAGGAAAAGUAAUGAAAGGUAAUGAAUAAUUGAGAGAAUUUAGUAUUAAAAAUUGAAUUGAAUGGUAAAAAUAAAAAAUUUUAAAAAAAUAUAAAAGUAUUAAUUAUGUUAUUAAAUUGAAGAUAAGUGAAGUUAAGUGGGGAGAGUAAAUGGAGUUGAACUCCAAAAUCAAACAAAGUAUUAUUUUAUUUAAUUUCAUUUUUUUCUCAAUUCAAUAAUGCAAUCAAUACUUUUUUUUCAAAUUCUUUUUCAUAAUUUUUUAUAUAUUAUUUAAAAUAGGUUUUAAACUAAAUUAUCUCACUAUUUUAUAUUUUUUUUAAAUUCAACAACGCAAUUAUUUUUAUUUUUAUUUGCUUAUUCAAAUUCUCCAACAUAUUUUUUUCAACUACUUUUAUUUUUAUUUUCUUAAAUCAAAUUUAACUUCGUUAUCAAAAGUUAUAUAUUUCGUUACCAAACAUUAUGUUAAAAAGAGUGUUAGCUGAUUGUGGAACUUGUGUAUGGACAAAUAUCAAAUGUUCCGGGACAGUUAAACGUGUAAGUAUCUAGCGUCUCCAUAAUAACUAUCAUCUAGCGUCUCCGUAGAUACACAACAUUGAGUAUUAAAAAUCGUUUUAGAGAUUUAUGAAUCAUCUACGACCUCUAGUUAGUAAUUCCAGUUCAACGGGCUCCGCAAUGUGUUUGUCGAUUGUGAGCCCUGAAUUUCGUUGAGAUUAUUUUUAUCUAUCCUAGUAUCAGUCUAGCUUUUACGUGGAGGAAUGGAAAUGAAUCAAGACAUAUUAUCGAGAUGCAGAAAAGAGUAGCACACAACUUCUUCGUAGAAUAAUACGCGGAUAGAACAUUUAAUUUGUGAUUCCGUAUAAAAUGGAAACUAAAUGAUGUGCUCCGUGAAUUUGAAGGGCAAUGGGUUAUUGCCAAAUUUUGGCAGAAGUCACAGGGGACUGUUGACAUAUACCCUCGCACAGUUCAAGGUUCGGCAUUGCUCCUCUUUCAAAGCUAUUGAAACCUUCCUUUUUGACUAUUGACUUCGAAUAUGAAGGUACUCGAUGUGAAAGGAUAGUAGAUUCAUCACAGUGCAAAAAAAUCAUAGUGUGUAUACCUCAUCAUUCGUGUUUGGAUAUAGAGCGAUUUGCAGGGAAAAGAAACUGCGACUUUACUUCCUCCUCUUAAUUAAUGCCAACGUAGUCUCAAUCUGAUCAGUAAUAGUGUGGGUAGAGAAAUGGGAUACCACUGAGGAGGGUUUGGGACGGGUCCCUCCUAUACUCGUACUUAUUUAUAAAGUCGAUCUUAAUCCUUUCUCAUAUCUAUUGUUAUUUCACGAAAAAAAUUUCAAAUUCUUCCCGUCAAUUUAACAGGUAUUCAAUGGGAAUUCUUUUUUUCUUUUUUUUGCCUAUUAAUAAAAUUUGUGGGGGAGAAAAAAUUCUACGAGUUUGUCAUAAUAUCUUAUUUAUAUGAAAUGGCUUGAGGGCCACCAACGACAAGGUGGGAUGAUGUGUUUCGGAUUGCUGUCCGACACAUUUUCGAAUUUUCGGGUCCACACACACAUUCUAGAAGACUCAGGAAUCAGAAUUUAGCUUAAUUAGAUAUUAAGUUUCCUAUAUUGGUAUAAUAUAAUUUCUCUUAAUUAUAUAUAAUUUCAUAUAUUAGCUUGAGUCAGUAGUCUUAAGUUUCUUAUUUUAGAUUAUUACCUUACUCUAUUUUAGGAAAGUAAUUUAGAGGAGAUUAGAUAACAGUUUCCUAUUUUAGAGUCAAGAGGGGUGUCUAGCCUCUAUAUAUUUUUGAAUGAAUAUUGUAAGAGAAGAUAACAAACUGUGAAUGAAUAUUUUUGAAUGAAAUUGCUUAGAGUGUUUUUUCUA